rnacentral:lncRNA from 1 species
CCCCGCGGUAGACUUCAAAUACUCUUUGUCCUGCCCCUGCUUGGCGAAAUUUACCGAAAUUAUCUACCUAUCCCGCUGGAGUGGGAGCCGGGGGAGAGCUGGAACCGCGUCUCUGCUGCUCACCUUUGUGUCCUUAGCUCCUUCGCAUGGGGUCCGACCGCAACACGUGCGCUGGAUAAACGCUUGUUAACUGGAGCUCCCUCUUUGCCCACUAGCAGGGCAUUAGCUGGUGCUGAAGACAGUGGCUGCUUGGCGAGCCUGGAUCUCCAAGUGACCCCCUCAGCAACUCCUGAUGAACAGGUACUGUGUGCAGAAAUGUGAUUGAGAUUCAAGUCAGGGCCUCUCUGCCCUUUUCCCUCCAGAAACAAAACCAAGAUAAUUUAUCCUGAACACGGUGAAAAAAGGAAGGGAGGGAGGAGAAAAAGUCCGGGUCUCACCUGGGAUUCUCUGUCUCCUGCAACAUGAAGGAUUUAGCCUGGGAGGAGGUGGUGAGAACUCUGGGAGAGAAAAAAGAAGGAAAGAAUAGUUUUACCCAUGCUGAAGUUAAUUUAAACCUUCACCUAGAGAAGCAAAAAAAAAAAACCCACACUUUCCCAUUUUGUGCCUCCCUUCCUAGAGUUUUAGCCAAAGGUUUAGCUAAGUAAUUGGUUUUACCAGCGCACUCACUCCUCCUAUCCCAAGUCUGUUUGACUCCCUCCCCAUCAUCCUCCUCACCUCUUUUCAGGCAGGGUGGGGAUAGCAGCAGGAGGAGAUUUUGGGAGCCUGGCAACUCCUGCAAGGACCGCAGGACAGCCCCUCUGUGGGGAUGCGUGGUGCCCCAUCUGCCGCCCUUCUGAAGAAUGCACUGCCUUCACUUUUUACUGUGUUAGAGUCCAUCCAGACUGUUCUAUCCAAAAAAGUUUCUUUUUCCCCCACAGGCAAUCAGGAAAUGAUUCCUUUCCCGACUGCUUCUGUCUAGUGCCUGGGAAUCUUGAGUCAAUCCCUCAGUAAGUCAGUGACUAGGGAAAUCCCUCUCUGAGCCUCCCAGUUCAUGUUGCUUAGGGAACCUGAUAUUUUCGUGAAACCUGCCUACACAUGGGCAGCCCAACAGCAGAACAAAUGGUGGUGACCAAAGUGAACAAAGAAGUAUAGUUGUGCCAGCUUCGUAGUUGCCCAUGUGGACAAGUCAGCAGGAUCAGGACACGAGGAAGAGUAAAUGUGAGACAGUCAAUGUGACUUCUGCGAUAAACAGAUUUUUAAACCCCGAAAUUUUGCAAAAUUUUGGUGAAACCUGAACUUUCUUCGUUGCAUAUACUGGCACUAUCUGUACCAUCAUACAACUGUCUCACAUUAAAGCUAUUUUUCUUGGGCACUGAUGAGUAAGGUUGGUAUAAGUUCCUCAGAUCAACAAAAACCCAUUUUCCUGUAAGUCUUACAUUU